UUAUUUCUUUUAAAAGGAUUUUAAUGUCCACUGCUAAUUUGUCUGUAUUAGAAUUCAAUUGUGUGUCAUAUUAAGACAGGUCGACGGAUUAAUGUUGCAUUAGGACUUGCCUUGAGCUGUCCUUCGUGUUAAUUGGUUAGAGUUUUAGCUUUUAUGCCUUGAAUUCUCUAUCCAGCCUGAACUUAUUUCACUCCGAGGUUGGAUUCAUGUAAUCUUAAGA
rnacentral:lncRNA from 1 species